rnacentral:tRNA from 1 species
AAGAAAUUAGUUAAAUUAAAUAACAUUAGUAUGUCAUCCUAAAAUUAUUAUUAUAUAAUAUUUCUUU